ACUCCUACGGGAGGCAGCAGUGGGGAAUAUUGGACAAUGGGCGAAAGCCUGAUCCAGCCAUGCCGCGUGUGUGAAGAAGGUCUUCGGAUUGUAAAGCACUUUAAGUUGGGAGGAAGGGCAGUAAGUUAAUACCUUGCUGUUUUGACGUUACCAACAGAAUAAGCACCGGCUAACUUCGUGCCAGCAGCCGCGGUAAUACGAAGGGGUGCAAGCGUUAAUCGGAAUUACUGGGCGUAAAGCGCGCGUAGGUGGUUCAGCAAGUUGGAUGUGAAAUCCCCGGGGCUCAACCUGGGAACUGCAUCCAAAACUACUGAGCUAGAGUACGGUAGAGGGUGGUGGAAUUUCCUGUGUAGCGGUGAAAUGCGUAGAUAUAGGAAGGAACACCAGUGGCGAAGGCGACCACCUGGACUGAUACUGACACUGUGGUGCGAAAGCGUGGGGAGCAAACAGGAUUAGAUACCCUGGUAGGAUAGCG
rnacentral:rRNA from 1 species